CUACGCUGAUGUUAGAAGAUGUCUUCGACACUUCUAUGAGGGCUCAGCUAUCCACCAAGUCGUUCGAAAGCUUAUGUUAGGUACUAAUAUAUUACUAUAGAAAUAAAAUAAAAUUCUAGGUAUCAAUAAAUAGAAAUGAGUGAAAGGCACAGUUUGAGAAGCGCUGAGCGUCGCGGUGGUACACCAAAUUAACAUAACGCACGUCGCAGUCAACCAACUGCGGCCCGCUUUGCAAUAGAAAAAGCGGGCCCACACUUGGUACUAAAUAAAGCGGUAAAGCACACGCGCACAUGUCGAAGGCAAGAUAUAAAUACGAUAAUGUUGAACGUAAUUGUGCCACACGCCUCUAAGAUAUGGAAAAAACCUUUGAUUAUAAAUAAACUUUCUUUGAAAGAUA